UUAUUACCAGGAACUACAUGGACAAGUCAUACCAUGCCCUAUGGGGGAUAAUGGUGACAAAGUUGCUGUAUGUCCAUUUCCGCCACCAU